rnacentral:rRNA from 1 species
UGGGGAAUAUUGGACAAUGGGGGCAACCCUGAUCCAGCGAUGCCGCGUGUGUGAAGAAGGCCUGCGGGUUGUAAAGCACUUUCGGUGUGGAAGAGAAGCGCAGGUUGAAUAAGCCUGCGUGGAGACGUUACACACAGAAGAAGCACCGGCUAACUCUGUGCCAGCAGCCGCGGUAAUACAGAGGGUGCGAGCGUUAAUCGGAGUGACUGGGCGUAAAGGGCGCGUAGGCGGUUAGAUUAGUCUGAUGUGAAAGACCUGGGCUUAACCUGGGAUGUGCAUUGGAAACGGUCUGGCUAGAGUUUGAGAGAGGGAAGUGGAAUUUCCGGUGUAGCGGUGAAAUGCGUAGAGAUCGGAAAGAACACUCGUGGCGAAGGCGACUUUCUGGCUCAAAACUGACGCUGAGGCGCGAAAGCGUGGGGAGCAAA